rnacentral:lncRNA from 1 species
UUUAUCACAAACGUCUUCCGCCAACAUAAUAUGUUGGGACAUUUUUCGGUGUAUAAAUACAAUGUGUCUCGGGGCAUUCCCCGACUAAAUGAAUACAUCUGAAUUAAAUACUAUAAACUAGAAAGAAAUAUUCACAUGCACAUUCCAACAUUCAACCAAAAUAUCAUUUCUAAAUUUUACCUACCCAAACCUAUUGCCUAUCCAUUUCAACAUAUCAUAACUCAAUCACGUUUCAUAUCAACAAUCAAUCAAACUUAAUUCGAAUCUAACCUUUUCGUCAAUUUUCAAUUCCACCCCCAACUUUCUUUUGAUUAAUCACCAUUAAAUCAUGAUCAAAUUCAUUCCUCCAACGACCAAAGUCGAAUUACCAAACAUCAACAACAUGAAGCAAUUAUAAUCAAUAACGCACAAUCAUAACACCAAUGCACUAAAUAGAAAUAAAAUGAAAAGAGGGAGUCAAAGAAUUGGACCUCAAGUGUCAAUUUUAAUAUCUCGGAGAUAGAACCGCGCCCGAAAACCCAAUUCCGAACCUCGACGGCAAACAAAACGCCAAACUCGAUAUAGAAUUCAACCGGACAAAUUUGAAAAUCUAUAUGAACCUCAGCGAAAUCAAGAUGGUGGUCGUCUUCUGCCACGCCAGAACUAUUUCCCUGGGGUAUUACGAUUCCGAUUCCAGCAAAAUAACUCACCGAAAAAUGGUUGAAUCUACCCGUUUUCUCUCAAAUCCCUCCGUUCUUCUCUUUUUUGUUUGUUUGUUUGUUCUCGACGCGUCUCUCUCCCAAUCUCUCGCUCUUCGUUUCUCCUCUCUCUCUGUGUUACUCUCUCUCUUAUCCUCUCCAGCAGCUCAAUGUCUCCCUUUGGAUCCUUUUCUCGACUAUCUCGAUCUCCACCUCCUCUAUUCUAUUUCUCAACCCAUGUGUGUGUAGUGUAUCUGGGUCAGUGAGUGAGGGAAAUUGUGUGUGGGUGUGAGUCUUUUUCUGCCGGUGAGAGAGGAUCUGCGUAUAUAUGAUAGUGUCUAUCCCAUAUAUAUGGAGAAUUAUGAAUUGUGUGUCAAUUUGAAUAUUGUUUUAUUUUUUGGUCAGUAUCUUGUGCGUCUGUGUGCUGUGUAGUGUUGUGUGAAUAUGAUCUUUGAGUGUGUCUUGUGAGUGAAGGUUAGUGAGAAUUGUGGAGAAGAUGAUGGAUAAUGGUGCGAAGAAGAAGAAAAGGAGAAGAGAAAAAAAAUGGCGUUCCCCCCUUUUCCUAUGUGCGUCCCCUUUGUUAUAUAUAAUGGAAAAAGAAUGAGUACUACCCUUCGUGGAAGGUUCCUCUUAUUUUUGUUUUUAGUCCAUGUUUCUUUCUUUGUGGACAAGAAAAAGAGAGGGUGAGGUGUUGUUUUUUAAUUGGAGGGGUAAGGGUUAGGUGUCUUAUUUUAAUUGAAAGGGUUGUUAGGAUAUUUAAAAGAAAUAAAGUUUGUUAGGGAUUUUGUUGAGAGUUUUUUUUAUUUUUGUGGAAUGUAAUUACAUGGGUAGGGUAAGGUAAAAAUGGGUAAAAUGAUAUCGGGGAGGGACGAAAUUAUGUGUCUACAUCAUGCCCCCUUUGAAUGUAAGCACGCAGUAUUUUCAGACAAAAAAGUAAACAACGAGAUCGGAUUUUGUCCCGAUCUUUAUUCAAAGAGAGGAGUAAAAGCAAGAAGGACAAUCGAAUCUUGUUGGACACCCUAUCUACCCAAGUCAUGAGGAAGUCACAAGUAUCUAAAGGGUUAGAAGAGAAGUGGACUAUACCGAGUUGGAGAGUCGAGUGAGGUUCCAUCGAGGUUCCGGUUCGCGGCUUUGUCAUUACAUCAAAAAUAAAAAUUACAAGCUAAAAAAAAAUGAAAUUACAAAAUCCUAUCUAUAAUGGAAAAAGAAUGAGUAUUAUCCUUCCUGGAAGGUUCCUCUUAUUUUUGUUUUUAGUCCAUGUUUCUUUAUUUGUGGACAAGAAAAAAAGAGGGUGAGGUGUUGUUUUUUAAUUAGAGGGGUAAGGGUUAGGUGUCUUAUUUUAAUUGAAAGGGUUGUUAGGAUAUUUAAAAGAAAUAAAGUUUGUCAGUGAUUUUGUUGAGAGUUUUUUUUAUUUUUGUGGAAUGUAAUUACACGGGUAGGGUAAGGUAAAAAUGGGUAAAAUGAUAUCCGGGAGGGACGAAAUUACGUGUCUACAUCAUGCUCCCUUUGAAUGUAAACACGCAGUGUUUCCAGACAAAGAAGUAAACAACGAGACCAGAUUUUGUCCCGAUCUUUAUUCAAAGAGAGAAGUAAAAGCAAGAAGGACAAUCGAAUCCUGUUGGACACCCUAUCUACCCAAGUCAUGAGGAAGUCACAAGUAUCUAAAGGGUUGGAAGAGAAGUGGACUAUACCGAGUUGGAGAGUUGAGUGAGGUUCCAUCGAGGUUCCGGUUCGCGGAUUUGUCAUUACAUCAAAAAUGAAAAUUGCAAGUUAAAAAAAAAUGAAAUUACAAAAUCCUAUCUAUACAGCUUCUGUUGGCUCUUGACUCGACUUUUAUCACCCUAUUCUUCAGGCGGGCUCCUGACUUGCAAUUUCUUCAACUUCUUACUUGCCUUUCAAUUUCUUCACCCUGUUCUUCAGGUGGGCUCCUGACUAGCUAUUUCAUCACCCUAUUCUUCAGGCGGGUCCCUGAAACCCAAAAUUAAAACUAGAAAAAAAAUUAUUCCAAAUAAAAACUAUAGUAAAGUAGUAUUUCAUUUUUGAAAGCGUUGUCCCAUUUUCCAGGAGGGUCCUGAACAGAAAGUAAAGUCCCAUUUUUCAGGAGGGUCCUAAACAUAAAAUAAAAUCCCAUUUUUCAAGAGGGUCUUGAGCAGAAGGCAAAGUCCUAUUUUUCAGGAGGGUCCUGAGUAUAAGGUAGAACCCCAUUUUUUAGGAGGGUCCUGAACAGAAAGUAAAAUCUCAUUAUUUAGGAGGGUCCUAAACAGAAAGUAAAUUCUCAUUUUUCAGGAGGGUCCUGAACAGAAAGUAAAACAGAAAGUAAAAUCCCAUUUUUCAGGAGGGUCCUGAGCAGAAAGUAAAAUCCCAUUUUCCAGGAAGGUCCUGAGCAGAAAAUAAAGACUCAUUUUUCAGGAGGGUCCUGAGCAUAAAGUAAAAUCCCAUUUUUCAGGAGGGUCCUGAACAGAAAGUAAAAUCUCAUUUUUCAGGAGGGUCCUAAGCAGAAAAUAAAGUCCCAUUUUUCAGGAGGGUCCUGAGCAGAAAGUAAAAUCUCAUUUUUCAGGAGGGUCCUGAGCAGAAAAAAUAAAGUUCCAUUUUUCAGGAUGGUCCUGAACAGAAAGUAAAAUCUCAUUUUUCAAGAGGGUUUCGAACAGAAAGUAAAGUCCCAUUUUUCAGGAGGAUCCUAAACAUAAAGUAAAAUUUCAUUUUUCAAGUGGGUCCUGAGUAGAAGACAAAGUCCCAUUUUUCAGGAGGGUCCUGAGCAUAAAGUAGAACCCCUUUUUUCAGGAGGGUCCUGAACAGAAAGUAAAAUCUCAUUUUUCAGGAGGGUCAUGAACAGAAAGUAAAUUUCCAUUUUUCAGGAGGCUCCUGAACAGAAAGUAAAGUCCCAUUUUUCAGGAGGGUCCUGAAUUGAAAGUAAAAUCCCAUUUUUCAGGAGGGUCCUGAGCAGAAAGUAAAAUCCCAUUUUUCAGGAGGGUCCUGAACAGAAAGUAAAAUCUUAUUUUUCAGGAGGGUCCUGAGCGGAAAAUAAAUUUCCAUUUUUUAGGAGGGUUCUGAGCAUAAAGUAAAAUCCCAUUUUUUAGGAGGGUCCUGAACAUAAAGUAAAAUCCCAUUUUUCAGGAGGGUCCUAAACAGAAAGUAAAUUCCCAUUUUUCAGAAGGGUCCUGAACAGAAAGUAAAGUCCUAUUUUUCAGGAGGGUCCUGAGUAGAAAGUAAAAUCCCAUUUUUCAGAAGGGUCCUAAGCAGAAAAUAAAGUCCCAUUUUUCAGGAGGGUCCUGAGCAAAAAGUAAAAUCCCACGGAUGUGCAUUUCCAAUGGUAGCUGAAUUAAGUGAAGCGAAUUUGCCCCUAUUUCAACAAAGAAAAUUUGUCAGUUAAAAACUUAGUGGUGGCUUGCAGCUCUUGGCUUCUCAGGUAUUUGCCCCAGCACUCCUUCCUUUUAUCUUUGUUCCAAAUCGCUGACACUUGCCCUGUCUUACCGCAUCAUUGACCUGGACCCAGAUUGAGAGAAAUGAGUUCUGACUCGAACAAUGGGUUUCCAUUUUACCAUGCCUCUGAGGUGCACCCUUUUCCCAAAUUUGAAUGCUUCCACGAAUCCAACAGCCUGUUGGUGGAUAGACUUCCUUUACUUUGCGUUGAAUUACGAUCAUAUUUCUUUCAUGUGCUGGUCCUUGGUUUUUCCUCAUAUAAUUGGAAAGACUAGUAGUAAAUUUUGAAAUCCUUUCUCGCUUGUUUUGACACAGACUUGACUUAAAAUGUAAAGAAAUGAUGGUGACUUUUAUAUUGAUAAAUGACAUAAAAAGACAAAAAGCUUGAAUAUGUAAAUGAAAGAAAAGGGCAACGUCCCAUAUUAAAAAAAAAACCUUAUCUGAAUACGGUAACCCACUCCAAUGAGUAUGACAUGCCUUUUGGAUUACGCUGCCUGAUCUUCCUAUCUAAACUCCCCAUUUGUUGUUGAGUUCGUGCCUUUGCCGCUGAGCCUCUUCUUCAAAUCCAUUGGACUCAUACAUCACAUUCAAUUGACGACAUCUUAAAAGACUUUCGCCUACAUAUCUCUUUCUUUUCGCUUUUUACUUUUCUCUUGAACUCGCCAUCGCCUUACGGUGCCCGUGAGGGUUUUCACCAGUAAGACUCUCUUAUUUUUAUUUCUCUCCACUCACCAUCGCCUUUUGGUGCCUGCGAGGUUUUUCACCAAUAAGACUCUCUCAUUUUCAUUUCUCUCAACUCACCAUCGCCUUAUGAUGCCCACGGGGGUUUUCACCAAUAAGACUCUCAUUUUGUAUUUCUUUCUUGAUUUCUUAUGUUGAGGGAGACACGUGGUACCUCACAAUGUAUCAUCAUAUCCGUUGCAUGCUUAGCCUUAACAUUAUCAAAAAUUGAUCUGAAGGACUUUCUUUNNNNN